AUGAAGCCUUUCGGGUUGAAAAGCUUUGUCUUUUGGGACGAUAAUGACGGUACCAAAGGAGGAAGCCAGGGCUAAUUACGUGCCAGCAGCCGCGGUAAUACGUAGGUGGCAAGCGUUGUCCGGAUUUACUGGGCGUAAAGGAUGCGUAGGCGGAUAUUUAAGUGAGAUGUGAAAUUCCCGGGCUUAACUUGGGAGCUGCAUUUCAAACUGGAUAUCUAGAGUGCGGGAGAGGAGAAUGGAAUUCCUAGUGUAGCGGUGAAAUGCGUAGAGAUUAGGAAGAACACCAGUGGCGAAGGCGAUUCUCUGGACCGUAACUGACGCUGAGGCAUGAAAGCGUGGGUAGCAAACAGGAUUAGAUACCCUGGUAGUCCACGCCGUAAACGAUGAGUACUAGGUGUAGGAGGGUCCAACCUUCUGUGCCGCAGUUAACACAAUAAGUACUCCGCCUGGGAAGUACGAUCGCAAGAUUAAAACUCAAAGGAAUUGACGGGGGCCCGCACAAGCAGCGGAGCAUGUGGUUUAAUUCGAAGCAACGCGAAGAACCUUACCUGGACUUGACAUCCCCUGAAUAGUGCAGAGAUGCAUGAAGCCCUUCGGGGCAGGGAGACAGGUGGUGCAUGGUUGUCGUCAGCUCGUGUCGUGAGAUGUUAGGUUAAGUCCUGCAACGAGCGCAACCCCUAUCAUUAGUUGCUACCAUUAAGUUGAGCACUCUAGUGAGACUGCCGUGGUUAACGCGGAGGAAGGUGGGGAUGACGUCAAAUCAUCAUGCCCCUUAUGUCCAGGGCUACACACGUGCUACAAUGGUAGGUACAGAGAGAUGCAAGGCCGCGAGGUGGAGCAAAACUCAAAAACCUAUCCCAGUUCGGAUUGUAGGCUGCAACUCGCCUACAUGAAGCCGGAGUUGCUAGUAACCGCGAAUCAGAAUGUCGCGGUGAAUACGUUCCCGGGCCUUGUACACACCGCCCGUCACAUCAUGGGAAUUGGUUCUACCCGAAGACGG
rnacentral:rRNA from 1 species